ACGAACGCUGGCGGCUGCUUAACACAUGCAAGUCGAACGGAGUGGCGAAAGGGUGAGUAACGCGUGAGCAACCUGCCUAUGACAGUGGGAUAGCCUCGGGAAACCGGGAUUAAUACCGCAUAGUCAUAGAUGGGCUCGCGUCUGAUUAGCUAGUUGGUGAGAUAACAGCUCACCAAGGCGACGAUCAGUAGCCGGUGGUAGAGGAUGAACGGCAACAUUGGAACUGAGACACGGUCCAAACUCAUACGGGAGGCAGCAGUGGGGAAUUGUGCAAAAUGGGGGAAACCCUGAUGGAGCGACGCGGCGUGAACUAAGAAGGUAUUCGUAUCGGAAAGUUCUGUCCUAUGGGAAGCAGUACCAUAGAAGAAAGCUCCGGCUAAAUACGUGCCAGCAGCCGCGGUAAUAC
rnacentral:rRNA from 1 species